CAACCUCUAUGUGACAGCCUGAUACACCCGAUCCUAUCACAGUCAAUAAAGGACUGGACACAGACACCACUGGAAAUAGGAGUGCUUCUUACAUCUCCAAGGAUGCAGACAGAUCCUCCACAGUUUACAAGGCUCAGAGUUUUUCAUCUCCAGGAGUAGACAAUUUCCCCAAAGCUUGGAAAAUGGGCAGAACAAUCUUCAUCCAGUUUCCCAUCUCCUUCACAGGAAAGGACACAUUUGUGAAAAAUGGAUCUUCCACCCAUCCAUACAAGGCCAGCAAUGAACAGAGGAGACAUUGGAUUGAGGAAUCCUUUAAAUAUUGUCUUGGCCUUCAACUGUUCUGUUUUGGCAUUACUGCCCUGGCAUCCAGCAGAGCUGCUACCCACUCCUUGACUCAGCUGUGUUCAGGUCUUGCAAU